rnacentral:pre_miRNA from 1 species
GCGCUCGUCAAGGUGUCUGUGAAAUGUGUUUUUCUGUUCAUAUCACAGCCAGCUUUGAUGAGCGCCA